CGUUCGUCGGCAACACACGAGGGGCAAAGUGUUUCCGGAACGACACAAACACAGAGGCAGCAGCAGAGACCUCGGAUCGCGAGACAACAAAGCACUUUCUCGAGCUCGCCGCAGCGGGGACACGAUCCGGGAACCAGGAGCUACAGACGUCUCCGGAGCCCACGAUGGACCGAGAAGCCAGCAGCCUGGUCAUAAACUACGCCAUCCUCAUCAUCCUCCUGCUAAUCUUAUGGGUUCUCUACACGGGAGACAGUUCUGAAGACUAGCCAGAAGUCGCACAAUGUAGAGCUGGUUGACCAUGCACCGGGUGGGAUAUUCAAAGUGAGGUCACCAGUUUGAAAUCAUAUGUAAAUGGACCACCCGGAUUUGUAACCAGUGGCCAUCAGCUGCAAAACCCGACGGCUGCCAAGAUGCUGCACUUCCAACAAACCACCACAGAGGGGGCACUUCCGACAAGGGAGCAUCGAAAGUCGCGCGCUCGCAAAUUCCACUACGAGGGGGCCAUGCGUGUUGGCCUCGUGUAGUACCAACAACGUUAUCCACAGCAUGCA